GUCUCCGUAGGUGAACCUGCGGAGGGAUCAUUACACAAAUAUGAAGGCGGGCUGGAACCUCUCGGGGUUACAGCCUUGCUGAAUUAUUCACCCUUGUCUUUUGCGUACUUCUUGUUUCCUUGGUGGGUUCGCCCACCACUAGGACAAACAUAAACCUUUUGUAAUUGCAAUCAGCGUCAGUAACAAAUUAAUAAUUACAACUUUCAACAACGGAUCUCUUGGUUCUGGCAUCGAUGAAGAACGCAGCGAAAUGCGAUAAGUAGUGUGAAUUGCAGAAUUCAGUGAAUCAUCGAAUCUUUGAACGCACAUUGCGCCCUUUGGUAUUCCAAAGGGCAUGCCUGUUCGAGCGUCAUUUGUACCCUCAAGCUUUGCUUGGUGUUGGGCGUCUUGUCUCUAGCUUUGCUGGAGACUCGCCUUAAAGUAAUUGGCAGCCGGCCUACUGGUUUCGGAGCGCAGCACAAGUCGCACUCUCUAUCAGCAAAGGUCUAGCAUCCAUUAAGCCUUUUUUUCAACUUUUGACCUCGGAUCAGGUAGGGAUACCCGCUGAACUUAA
rnacentral:rRNA from 1 species